AGGAAGGUGGGUAUGUUAAUAGCAUAUUCAUUUGACGUUAGCUGCAGAAGAAGCACCGGCUAACUCCGUGCCAGCAGCCGCGGUAAUACGGAGGGUGCGAGCGUUAAUCGGAAUUACUGGGCGUAAAGCGCAUGCAGGUGGUUUGUUAAGUCAGAUGUGAAAGCCCGGGGCUCAACCUCGGAAUUGCAUUUGAAACUGGCAAACUAGAGUACUGUAGAGGGGGUAGAAUUUCAGGUGUAGCGGUGAAAUGCGUAGAGAUCUGAAGGAAUACCGGUGGCGAAGGCGGCCCCCCUGGACAGAUACUGACACUCAGAUGCGAAAGCGUCGGGGAGCAAACAGGAUUACGAUACCCUGGUAG
rnacentral:rRNA from 1 species